CCACACCGCCUCGGCAGAAAGAAAAACCAGGAUCCCGUGUGCGCCGGGGUCGCAGGGCUCGCCCUUGGCUCGGGCUAAUGACAGCAGGCGGUUGCCAAGCGUGGCCCUGCGGAGCCUGGCUGAGCCCCGGGUUCCCAGGGCGGGUCGGAGUGGCAUCUGACCUGGGGGCAGAACAUUUUGAUGGGAGUGACAGAGGAAGCUGCUCCCUUAUCAUGGCUAUGAAACAAAAGAGAGCAAGAAAGAGACAGGAUUACCAGUAUCUCCUUCAGUUCAGUCCUGUGGUAAACACCAAAUACGAUUCAUCAGCUCCAGACCAGUCCUCUAGGCAGGCAGACACCAGGGACGAACCAGCAGCUACAGUCCAGUUCUUUCAGCAAGCAGACACCGGGCAUGAACCAGCAGAUGUAGUUCAAUCCUGAAGAAACCACUAGACUCAUCAGAUGUCCCAAAGCAAGGCCCCAGAAGUCACAUGCUGCUGCAGGAACCACGCAAGAAGUUUUUGGGUAGAAAUGGAGAUUAGCCACUGUCGUGAAAGGAUAAACCGCAAAAGGACUCUAUCUGUCCUAUGCGUGUGCACUUGGCUCGAGUGCAGGCCCAUUGAAGAAUUUGGCUAUGCACACUGAGCCCUGCACUGGCCUCUGCAUCCCUCCAAGCCUCCCAACAGCGAUUUUACUUUUCUUUUAAGUGUGUGUGUGUGUGUGUGUGUGUGUGUGUGUGUGUGUGUGAGAGAGAGAGAGAGAGAGAGAGAGAGAGAGAGAGAGAGAGUGAGAGUGCAUGUGUGUGUGUCCACAGAGGCCAGAAGAGGGUAUCAAAGCCCUUGGGGCUUGAGUUGUAGGCACCUGUGAUCCACUCAGCAUGGGUGCUUCGAACAGUACCCUGGUCCUUCAUAAGAACUUAACUGUUAACUUAAACUUUCAACUGUUGAGCAGUCUCCAGAGACCUGCUCACUGUGUUUUAAGGUGAGCACUUAAAACAUUUUCACUUUCUUUCCCUCACCAAGGAAUGUUUCAGAUCUUUCUCUUGGCUCCAACUUCAGUGCUCACCCAACCUUAAUCUUUAUAGGUGAUUUUCAUACCCCAUUCCACUCUUCCCCCUUACCUCCCACCAAAAGGCCACACAACUAAACACUGCCACCAGAAUGACUUCUCUUCCCACUCAGAGAUCAUCUGUGAGGUAAAGUGUCCACUCUCUCUGCCAGGACAUACUUUCCCAUGGUUCAUUUCUGUGACCCUGGCCUCUGUACUGUUGUCACUGGGUACAGUGCCCUUCAGGAAGACCUGGGGCUGACUGUCUCUUCAGGAUGUGUAGUUAGAUUGGAGAUAUAUAAGUCUCUCCCAGCAGGCUGCCGCAGUUUAAUGUGUGGUACAGAAAAGGCCAAGCCCUCUGGGCUGAGUGGGGCUUAGAGCUCGCUUGUGACCUUUUUCUUUGCCAGAGGCAUUUUUUUUUGCAGUCCUAAGAGCUCACCUCUCUGCAGGUCAGCAUGAUACCAACAUUGACUGUGAGAUCAUCCCCAGAGGGCAUGUGUAAGAGGUAAAACUGAAUGUUCUCAAAGGUGCUUUGAGCCAACUUAGUUCCAGCUUCAAAAAAUAGGAAACACCAAGCCUCUGCCAGUGCCUUCUCUAGUUAUUCCCCACCCAAACUAGAAGUCGGGAGCAGAAACUUACAGCCAAGCUUUCUUGCAUCUGAUGAGGAUGUAAAAAUGAAAGCAUAUCGUUUUUCUUGGGAAAAAGACAAACAGAAGGGUCAGAGGGAGAGGUAAGAUCGAGAUGGUGUGUAAGAUGUCUGUCCUGACUACUAGGAGAGGGAGAAAGGGCCUACAUUGGAGUUAUAAAUUCUGCACUUGGCACACUUGACAUUACAGGCUGAUGCCCAACUUGGCAAAGGCAUCAACCGCUCUGUCCCUGGGGGUCUUAUUAUGAAGUGAGGAUCACCAUUUCUCACACUUGUAUGGUAGGAGUGGAUUCAGCCCAGCUCUGUUCUUCUGGGCUUCAGAGGAUCUUCAUCCAGUGACAUUGAUUCCUGUCACCAAAAGAGGCAGCCAACUCCGUCUGAUGUGCUCAGUGAAGCACUCUGUGGGCUUCCCUCACGUCCCCAUCACACUUUCUCUCAUUUCUAUAACUGUUGAAUGUACCUAAAAAGCGAACUUUCUAACUCCAAUCCUUGACCCAGACCACUUCUCCUUUGUUCCUUUCCCGACUGAGUCUCACUGGGCGCAUUGACCACAGAGGCUAAGCCUCAUGCCCAGUAGUAGGUAGUCAACAGAAAACGAACUUGAUGAUAUUUUUGGAGAUAUUUUUAUCUCAAAUUGCUUUGUUCAGCCAUCUUUUGUCUUAUUAGUCCUUUGCUUGUAUUUUUUGGUUUCUGUGUGUGUGUGUGUUUCUAUUUUUUGUUUCGUUGUUUUGUUUUUUUAAGGGGGGUGGUAGGUAAAGAGGUGGAGAUGACCUGGGAGGAUUUUUGGGAGGGGAGAAUUGUCAUCAGACUAUAUUCUAAGAAACACACAGGUAGAUGGAAUGAGAGGGUGGAUCUGAAAAGAGUUGAGGGAAGUGACCGAGAACAACCAAAACACUAUACAAAUUUUCCAAGAAUUAUAAAUAAAGAAUUUAUAAAAAGAAACU
rnacentral:lncRNA from 1 species